GACGAACGCAGGCGGCGUGCCUAAUACAUGCAAGUCGAGCGAAGUUUUCUGGUGCUUGCUCUAGACAAACUUAGCGGCGAACGGGUGAGUAACACGUAAAGAACCUGCCUCAUAGACGGGGACAACUAUGGAAACGAUAGCUAAUACCGGAUAACAGCAUAAAUCGCAUGAUAUAUGUUUAAAAGUUGGUUUCGGCUAACACUCUGAGAUGGCUUUGCGGUGCAUAAGCUAGUUGGUGGGGUAAAGGCCUACCAAGGCGACGAUGCAUAGCCGACCUGAGAGGGUGAUCGGCCACACUGGGACUGAGACACGGCCCAGACUCCUACGGGAGGCAGCAGUAGGGAAUCUUCCGCAAUGGGCGAAAGCCUGACGGAGCAACGCCGCGUGAGUGAAGAAGGAUUUCGGUUCGUAAAGCUCUGUUGUUAGGGAAGAAUGAUUGUAUAGUAACUAUAUACAGUAGAGACGGUACCUAACCAGAAAGCCACGGCUAACUACGUGCCAGCAGCCGCGGUAAUACGUAGGUGGCAAGCGUUGUCCGGAAUUAUUGGGCGUAAAGCGCGCGCAGGUGGUUUAAUAAGUCUGAUGUGAAAGCCCACGGCUCAACCGUGGAGGGUCAUUGGAAACUGUUAAACUUGAGUGCAGGAGAGAAAAGUGGAAUUCCUAGUGUAGCGGUGAAAUGCGUAGAGAUUAGGAGGAACACCAGUGGCGAAGGCGGCUUUUUGGCCUGUAACUGACACUGAGGCGCGAAAGCGUGGGGAGCAAACAGG
rnacentral:rRNA from 1 species